AACGAACGCUGGCGGCGUGCUUAACACAUGCAAGUCGAACGGUAAGGCCCUUCGGGGUACACGAGUGGCGAACGGGUGAGUAACGCGUGGGUGAUCUGCCCUGCACUUCGGGAUAAGCCUGGGAAACUGGGUCUAAUACCGGAUAGGACCACUGCCUGCAUGGGUGGUGGUGGAAAGCUUUUGCGGUGUGGGAUGGGCCCGCGGCCUAUCAGCUUGUUGGUGAGGUAAUGGCUAACCAAGGCGUCGACGGGUAGCCGGCCUGAGAGGGUGACCGGCCACACUGGGACUGAGACACGGCCCAGACUACUACGGGAGGCAGCAGUGGGGAAUAUUGCACAAUGGGCGGAAGCCUGAUGCAGCAACGCCGCGUGAGGGAUGACGGCCUUCGGGUUGUAAACCUCUUUUAGCAGGGAAGAAGCGGGAGUGACGGUACCUGCAGAAAAAGCACCGGCUAACUACGUGCCAGCCGCCGCCGUAA
rnacentral:rRNA from 1 species